rnacentral:rRNA from 1 species
GACGAACGCUGGCGGCGUGCUUAAUACAUGCAAGUCAACUGAAGCAGUGGUAGCAUUAUGGCUUUGGAGGUGGCGCACGGGGGAGUAACACGUAGGUUAUCUUCCUUCAGGUCUGGCAUAACUCCGGGGAACCUGGGCUAAUAGCAGAUGAUGCAGCGGCUCGACAUCGAGACGGUUGUUAAAGCUAUGGCGCCUGAGGAUGAGUCGGCGGUUGAUUAGCUAAUUGGCGGGGUAGUGGCCCACCAAGGCAUCGACGGUUAGCUGGUCUGGGAGGGUGAUAGGCGACACUGGGACUAGGAUACGGCCCGAAGUAGUACGGAGGACAGCAGUGGGAUAUAUUGCACAAUGAACCGACACCUGAUGCAGAAACGCCGAGUGCGGGAGGACGGACUUCGGGUUAGAAACCGCUAUAGCCUGUAACCAAGCGGGAGUGACGGUAAUGGGUAAAGAAGCACCGGCUAACUACGUG